GCUUACGGCCAUACCACCCUGAGCGCGCCCGAUCUCGUCUGAUCUCGGAAGCUAAGCAGGGUCGGGCCUGGUUAGUACUUGGAUGGGAGACCGCCUGGGAAUACCAGGUGCUUGAUCU
rnacentral:rRNA from 1 species